rnacentral:rRNA from 1 species
UACGUAGGGUGCGAGCGUUAAUCGGAAUUACUGGGCGUAAAGCGUGCGCAGGCGGUUUUGUAAGCCAGAUGUGAAAGCCCCGGGCUUAACCUGGGAAUGGCAUUUGGGACUGCAAGGCUUGAGUGCGGCAGAGGAGACUGGAAUUCCCGGUGUAGCGGUGAAAUGUGUAGAGAUCGGGAGGAACACCGGUGGCGAAGGCGGGUCUCUGGGCAUCUCCUGACGCUGAGGCGCGAAAGCGUGGGGAGCAAACGGG